rnacentral:rRNA from 1 species
UGACUACGCGACGCCGCGUGGGUGAUGAAGGCCUUCGGGUUGUAAAGCCCUGUCACCUGGGAAGAAUGGCGGAGGGUGAAUAGCCACUUCGCUUGACGCUACCAGGAGAGGAAGCACCGGCUAAAUACGUGCCAGCAGCCGCGGUAAUACGUAUGGUGCGAACGUUGUUCGGAAUUACUGGGCAUAAAGAGCACGUAGGCGGUUGGGCAAGUCCAUUGUGAAAUCCCCACGGCUCAACCGGGGAACUGCAGUGGAUACUACUCGACUUGAGUGCAGGAGGGGAGAGUGGAAUUCCAGGUGGAGCGGUGAAAUGCGUAGAUAUCUGGAGGAACGCCGGUGGCGAAAGCGACUCUCUGGUCUGCAACUGACGCUGAGGUGCGAAAGCUAGGGGAGCAAACGGGAUUAGAUACCCCGGUAGUCCUAGCCCUAAACGAU